rnacentral:lncRNA from 1 species
GGGCGCUGAGGGGGCGGCGGAGUGCGAGCCGCACUGAGGGCGGGCUGAGGGGCCGCGCCGGGUCCCGGUGCCCUUGUGCCCUCACACCGCCCCGUUCCGCUACCCCCGGCGGCUCCCUCUGUGCCCGCCCUGCUCCCGCCUGGGUCACGGUGCCCUCGGGUCUCGCCCGCUCCGUGCCGCCGGGGCCGGCCCCGCAGCACGGGGGACCGACGGGGGCUGUCCGCCAAGGGCAGGGGAUCUGUGGGGUUUUGGGGCCUGUUUUUCGAGUCUCUGAGGACCGGAGAGCGGCGACUGCAGGGCUGGCAGCGGGGCCCCUGGGCUGUGGCACCAUGUCACGCCGCGCGUGGGCUCCCCUUGGCAGGAAAGGGAAAUAAACCGCUAAUGAGAGGGUGUAGUGCUCCCAGCAGCGUGGCCCAUUGCCCGAGGCAGUCUCUGCGAGGCUCCUUCCAGCGUGCUCAGAACACGCUCAGGGGACACUGCCAGGUUUCUUGCUUGCUUUUGGACUUGGACAGGCCUAAUCUGUGAAGAUAAUUAAAGUUCCUCUACUCUGGAUGCUAGCCGCCGCGGCCCGGCCAUGUCCCCGCUGCCGGAGGCGCAGCUGGUGCGCAGCUCGGUGCAGCUGUACCGGUACCUGCUGCGCUGCUGCCGCCGCCUGCCUCCGGGGCCCGUCCAGCAGCACUACAGACACGCCAUCCGGCAGAGUUUCAAAGUCCAUGCUGAUGAAGAUGAUCCUGAGCGAAUCCAGCAGAUUAUUAAGAGAGCCAUUGAAGAUGCUGACUGGGUGAUGAAUAAAUAUAAAAACCAGAAGUAGAAGAGGAAGGAUGAAACCAAGGAAGACAUUGGUAAACAUCCUUAGAGGACUUUCAGUCAAGCCCAGUACUAUAUUAGAAUUAUUGCUUGAAGUUUUCUCUUGGAUAAUACAAAUACAAUAACUUAUAUUUCACUGGGA